GAUGAACGCUGGCGGCGUGCCUAAUACAUGCCAGUCGAGCGAACAGAUGAGGAGCUUGCUCCUCUGACGUUAGCGGCGGACGGGUGAGUAACACGUGGAUAACCUACCUAUAAGACUGGGAUAACUUCGGGAAACCGGAGCUAAUACCGGAUAAUAUAUUGAACCGCAUGGUUCAAUAGUGAAAGACGGUUUUGCUGUCACUUAUAGAUGGAUCCGCGCCGCAUUAGCUAGUUGGUAAGGUAACGGCUUACCAAGGCAACGAUGCGUAGCCGACCUGAGAGGGUGAUCGGCCACACUGGAACUGAGACACGGUCCAGACUCCUACGGGAGGCAGCAGUAGGGAAUCUUCCGCAAUGGGCGAAAGCCUGACGGAGCAACGCCGCGUGAGUGAUGAAGGUCUUCGGAUCGUAAAACUCCGUUAUUAGGGAAGAACAAAUGUGUAAGUAACUAUGCACGUCUUGACGGUACCUAAUCAGAAAGCCACGGCUAACUACGUG
rnacentral:rRNA from 1 species